rnacentral:rRNA from 1 species
GACGAACGCUGGCGGCGUGCCUAAUACAUGCAAGUAGAACGCUGAAGAGAGGAGCUUGCUCUUCUGGUGAGUUGCGAACGGGUGAGUAACGCGUAGGUAACCUGCCUUGUAGCGGGGGAUAACUAUUGGAAACGAUAGCUAAUACCGCAUAACAAUGGAUGACACAUGUCAUUUAUUUGAAAGGGGCAAUUGCUCCACUACAAGAUGGACCUGCGUUGUAUUAGCUAGUAGGUGAGGUAACGGCUCACCUAGGCGACGAUACAUAGCCGACCUGAGAGGGUGAUCGGCCACACUGGGACUGAGACACGGCCCAGACUCCUACGGGAGGCAGCAGUAGGGAAUCUUCGGCAAUGGGGGCAACCCUGACCGAGCAACGCCGCGUGAGUGAAGAAGGUUUUCGGAUCGUAAAGCUCUGUUGUAAGUCAAGAACGAGUGUGAGAGUGGAAAGUUCACACUGUGACGGUAGCUUACCAGAAAGGGACGGCUAACUACGUGCCAGCAGCCGCGGUAAUACGUAGGUCCCGAGCGUUGUCCGGAUUUAUUGGGCGUAAAGCGAGCGCAGGCGGUUUGAUAAGUCUGAAGUUAAAGGCUGUGGCUCAACCAUAGUUCGCUUUGGAAACUGUCAAACUUGAGUGCAGAAGGGGAGAGUGGAAUUCCAUGUGUAGCGGUGAAAUGCGUAGAUAUAUGGAGGAACACCGGUGGCGAAAGCGGCUCUCUGGUCUGUAACUGACGCUGAGGCUCGAAAGCGUGGGGAGCGAACAGG